UACCAGCUCUCCGAGUGGUAGGGAUGAUUAUUGGGCUUAAAGCGUCCGUAGCCGGCUUAGCAAGUUUCCUGUUAAAUUCAGCGACCUAAUCGUUGAGCCGCGGGAAAUACUACUAGGCUAGGAGGCGGGAGAGGUCGACGGUACUUCUGGGGUAGGGGUGAAAUCCUAUAAUCCCGGGAGGACCACCAGUGGCGAAGGCUGUCGACUAGAACGCGCUCGACGGUGAGGGACGAAAGCUGGGGGAGCGAACCGGAUUAGAUACCCGGGUAGUCCCAGCUGUAAACGAUGCGGGCUAGGUGUUGGGUGGCCACGUGCCACUUCAGUGCCGCAGGGAAGCCAUUAAGCCCGCCGCCUGGGGAGUACGGCCGCAGGGCUGAAACUUAAAGGAAUUGGCGGGGGAGCACCACAAGGCGUGAAGCUUGCGGUUC
rnacentral:rRNA from 1 species